rnacentral:lncRNA from 1 species
GCGCGGUAGUGGGACCCGACCCUGUCUCCAGUGGGCGUCUUGGGCCCCGGCUCUAUUCUGGGCUGCGGGCCUGGGAAGGGCUCGCCGGGUGCCAAAUGAGCUGUCCUAACUCUGCGGGGCUGCAGCUUCCUGCAUGAUGCUGGGGAGCUUGGCGCCUGACCCAGGAUCUAGAAGGCACUCUGGGCAGGCCGCGCUCCGCCCACGAAGGUUUAACCACCAAGGACUCUGAGAGCUGGCAGGUCUGAGUAACCCUGGUAACAAUUCUCUUCACCUUAUCAAAACCUGAGCUAAAACCAAUGCAUCAGCUGAUGAUGACAGCAGAGAGUGGCAGGGCUGAGGACCCAAAGUCAUUUCCCAGGCUGGCGGAGACUCAAGCUAAGCUAUUGCUCACCGUCACAGGCUAGCCGCUGACUUCCACCCCUCUGGAUCCAGCAGGGUGUCUGCUGCACUUCUGAUCCAGUGAGACGCCCAUUGCCACUCCCAACUGGGCUAGAGGCUCGCCAUUGUUCCUGCACGGCUAAGUGCCCAGAUAAACUGCCAGGGAGAAGAAUGAGAAGACAGGAGACAAACUGUUUGGAAAGCUAAAUCUUCCCUCUUAAUGAAUAAAGGUUUUUGCCUUGUCUUAAAG